GGAUGAACGCUGGCGGCGUGCUUACCACAUGCAAGUCGAACGGGAUCCAAGGGGUGCUUGCACUUUUUGGUGAGAGUGGCGAACGGGUGAGUAACACGUGAGUAACCUGUCCUUUUCUUUGGGAUAAGCAUUCGAAAGGGUGUUUAAUACCUUAUGUUCUGUCUGCCUCGCAUGGGGUGGGUGGGAAAGGCUUUGGCCGGAUUUGGGUGGGCUCGCGGUCUAUCAGCUUGUUGGUGGGGUGAUGGCUUACCAAGGCUUUGACGGGUAGCCGGCCUGAGAGGGUGGUCGGUCACAUUGGGACUGAGAUACGGCCCAGACUCCUGCGGGAGGUAGCAGUGGGGGAUAUUGCACAAUGGGCGAAAGCCUGAUGCAGCGACGCCGCGUGGGGGAUGAAGGCCUUCGGGUUGUAAACUUCUUUUGCUCUGAACAAGGCAUGCCAGUGGGUGUGUUGAGUGUAGGGGUUGAUUAGCGCCGGCUAACUACGUG
rnacentral:rRNA from 1 species